rnacentral:rRNA from 1 species
GGUGGAGCAUGUGGUUUAAUUCAAAGCAACGCGAAGAACCUUACCUGGGUUUGAAGGUGACCGGAUCGGGGGCGAAAUCCCUCCCGCCGGUCUAGGUGUGACGAGCGCAACCCCUGCUGCUAGUUGCCAUCGGGAUGUCAAGUCUCAUGGCCUUUAUGUCCAGGCUACAUACAUGGCCGGUACAACCGUCGCGAGAGCGCAAGCUGGAGCAUCGGAUAAAGCCGGUCUCAGUUCGGAUUGGGGUGCAACUCGACCCCAUGAAGCUGGAAUCGCUAGUAAUCGGGAUCAGCACGCCGCGGUGAAUACGUUCCCGGGCCUUGUACACACCGCCGUCACAUCACGAAAGUCGGCUGUACCAGAAGUCGGUGUUCUGACUCGCAAGAGAGGAAGCCGCCUAAGUAUGGUCGGUAAUUGGGGUGAAGUCGUACAAGGU